rnacentral:antisense_RNA from 1 species
ACCUCGGGGGUUUCCUGCUUUAUGGCGAAGGGCCAGGGCCCCACACACCUCCCGCCUGACAGCCAGCCAAGCUCUUCAGUCCCCCGCCCUCCACCUGCCAGGGAGGCUCCGGGCGUUAUACCUGCCACCACGGGACACAUAUACUCAUAGAAAUGAGUUAUUUAAAGAAGACGGUCCAGAUUCCACAGUCCAAAAAAAAAAAGAGGUUUGCCCUGCUUCCGAAGGAGUCAGGAUAUGAAUGCAGAGGUCUUCCUGUUGGCUCACAUAUCAGACCUUCAACGUCAACAUUAAAUGCGAGUGAUGCUUCCCCCUCUGUGAAUGUGGCUUUGGGUAUGGCUAAUCCACACCCUGCACUCUGGCCUUCAGAAGCCCAGGGAGAGAAGCCUCCCAGAAGCAACCUUCCAGAACCUUCUCCAUCCUCCCACCGACCUCCCCAGCCCCUGUCCUCUCUUUGAAUCUCGUUGUCAAGUUCUUUCCGCAGACGCCUGGCUCCUUGAGGGGAGGUGCAGCUUUCAUCUGACCAUGCAGGCGUGCUUUGCAGUGGGUAGAGCAGUGCUGAAAGAACAUCAGUGUAUCAGCACAGCAAAUAUUCCAAAUGCCAGGCUGGAUUCCCUCCAAUUACCAGAACCUCCAGGCUUCUCCUCCUUUCAAGAACUUUCUGACCCUGGAUCCAGUCUAAAUGUUGGUUAUAAACUCACCUGACAUCCACAGGGCCCUUCCAAAGUACUGUCAAGGCUGACUGCUGGUGCCUGGAACCUGCACACCCUCCUGGGACUCUGCAUCUCUGCUGGGGCUGGUUUCUCCUCUGAGCCACCUUAAGGAAUCCCAUCCUGACCCGGUCAGAGCUCAGCAUGCCUCCCUCUCCUACUUGCUCAGCAUUUUCUGUCUAUCUAGACUGAAGCCUUUGCUUUCUCUCUGUGAUUGUGGUGAAAGUUCAGUUUGCUUUCCUCUCUCUAGAAUGUCAGCAUGAAGGCAGAGGGAUGGUCUCCUGAGUUCCAUAACCCCAAAGCCUAACUCCCUGCCUGCCACACUGAGGGGCUCAGUAGACAUUGACUUACUAAAUUGAAUAGUUGAGUAAUAAUGCUCUUUGAAAUAAUUUGGAGUUAGAUCUUGAGCCUUGUGUGGCCAGGGGAUGGGUGAGGACACAUCAUAAAAACUAAAGGUAACUGAGCAUGCCAGCAGUUGGGGUGAGAAAUUUGCAUGGAGCACUCCAGACGCAGAGGCAGUGCUGGGAAAGAACCCAAGUGCUGGGAAGUCAGAGUGAGAGAGUGAAGGGGCAGUGAGUGCUUCUUUAGGAGCUGGAUCAAAACCUAAGAUGAUCUGGCCACAUGGUGCAGACUGAGCACACACUUGGGAGAGAAAUGGGCCAGGAGGAGAGGAGAGAGGUUCACCACAGGACAGUGGAUGACUGGGAAUAGAAGCCCUCCCCAUGGUGGACCAAGAAGUCUGUGAAGCUGAGAGAAAGACAAAAGAAAUCACGACUUCUGUAGGUAGCUGGGAUGGAAACCUCAGGGGUGACAGGGUCUUUAAAGGAAAUCUCAAGGAAGGCAUCAUGUUCCGGGUGUGCUCCAGGGAUGCUGAGUAAGAAAAGACCAGCCUUUCUGUGUGUGUCUUUACUCUGCCACAAGGCACCUGGGCUCCUAAAUGACCAACACACAUGUGCUAUACUGGUGCCAAGAAAGAAGGGUGUUUUGUAGGAAAGUCAAGGUGAGAGGAGGUGCCCAGGGCUUGGCUCCUUUCUUUGAAGGGUGAUGGUGUAAAUUCUCCAUGCUGGGGAUCCUACUGAUGGAUGGAGGCAUGUCGACCUCAUCAUUUCACAGAGUGGGGAGCUAUGGCCACAACGUGCCUAUCACACAAGUCCAGCCUCACGUCAGCUGGACACCAGCUGUUCUGACACUUGUCAGCACAUGGGGCACCCGGAAGUUCACGGUGUUCUGCAAAGAACGCCACAAAACAGUGAGCUCAACUUCUUGAAAGUCAUAAUGUGUUGCUAAGUCCGAUCCCAGAUCCUAAAAAUAAUAUGAGGUAGUGGCCAUUGAACAGAAAAAAUUUACAUCUUAAACUUGAAGAUAAGUACAAGUGUACCUUUUUCUACCACUGUUGUUCAGUUUUAUUAUAUUGACAAGCACCUCUGCCCACCCUAUGGGGUAAAACUGUUUGAAAGUGUUUAUGAAAGUUUUAUAUAAAUAUUGGCUGAUCAAAUGUACAAAAUAUGCAUGAUGGCACCAUAUUGUGUAUAAUAGUGACAAAUACAGUCCAUGUGGGUGGAG